GUGCUUGCUUCAGUAGCACAUAUAUUGAAAUUGGAAUAAAACAGAGAAUAUUAGCAUGGUCCCUGCACAAAAAUGACCCAUGAAUUCAUGAAGCAUUCCGUAUUUUC
ensembl:snRNA U6 U6 spliceosomal RNA